AUCUAUUAGGUUGGUGCAAAAGUAAUUGCUGUUUCUGCCAUUGCUUUUAAUGGCAAAAGCCGCAAUUACUUUUGCAUUAACCUAAUA
ensembl:miRNA